AGCAGCCGCCGCGGUAAUACGUAGGGUGCGAGCGUUAAUCGGAAUUACUGGGCGUAAAGCGUGCGCAGGCGGUUAUGUAAGACAGAUGUGAAAUCCCCGGGCUCAACCUGGGACCUGCAUUUGUGACUGUAUAGCUAGAGUACGGUAGAGGGGGAUGGAAUUCCGCGUGUAGCAGUGAAAUGCGUAGAUAUGCGGAGGAACACCGAUGGCGAAGGCAAUCCCCUGGACCUGUACUGACGCUCAUGCACGAAAGCGUGGGGAGCAAACAGGAUUAGAUACCCGCGUAGUCCCUGUCUCUUAUAA
rnacentral:rRNA from 1 species